AAGUAGUUAGCUCAGUUGGUUAGAGCGUGGUGCUAAUAACGCCAAGGUCGCGAGUUCGACCCUCGUAGUGAUCA
rnacentral:tRNA from 1 species